CGGAGAUAUAGCUACCAGCUGUCUGACUUUCACUAAUUACAGUCACUGAGUGUAUCCUGCUCCGCAGAGCUCGGAGUGAGUCGUUUGUGAGUUUUAAGCCUCUAAUAGUUGGUUUUAGCGUGUGUGCCUAUAAUGGCCUAGUCAUUAUGUCAGCAUUAGUGAAUAGGGGUGGAAUUUGCUGUAGAUAUCUCACUACAUGCAGGAUCAUCGGGGGAUGGUAAUUGCACAGGUCAUGGGAAUUGCUAUUAAUUUAGACAUUGAU